UAAGCCUAAGCCUAAGCCUGAGCCUAAUCCGAAGUCAAAGCCUAAGCCUAAGCCUAAACCGAAGUCAAAGCCUAAGCCUAAGCCUAAA
ensembl:ncRNA Y105E8A.37 ncRNA